AAUGGUCCUCGGUAGUGGUUUCCGCAGAGCGCGAUUAAAUUCGCUUGCGUUGCGUGAACUUCGAUCGAAGAUUCAUU
ncrna:unclassified sequences Actino-pnp RNA